rnacentral:rRNA from 1 species
GGAAGUAAAAGUCGUAACAAGGUUUCCGUAGCAAUAAGUUAUGGAUCAGUGAUCCUUCCGCAGUGACACUUAUAGAAGCCUUGAAAUGCGCCUACGCAAGUAGGGACGCCCAGCGACUGAAAAUAAUUGGGAUACGCAAGUCGAAGCCCCCCUCGGGAGGCUGAGGCGACACUUUCGAAUUGCGGGGACGCCCUGAGAGCUCUACCUACUAAGCCGAGAGGGAAACUUCUUGGUGGCCCAUGUUAACAGCAUGGGGUAUAGUAAAAAGGGUAGAGAUUGGGCAAUCCGCAGCCAAGCUCCUACAGUCCCUAGGGAUAUGGAGAAGGUUCACAGACUAAGUGGAAGUGGGUGUGCGUCGCUUGUCGAUGCAUGCUUAAGAUAUAGUCGGGCCUCCGCCGAAAGGCGAGGGGUAAGUCACUGCAACGCAUCACUCGCGGGGAGAAUUUGAAAUCAAUCGAGUCAGUAAAGUCGAGCAAACUGCUUUACAUCGCUGCCAUCCUUGGCCUGACCUGAUUGAUCGAAGAAACUUCCCGCUGGUAUGUGGACAAUUAAACCGUUCCGUAGGUGAACCUGCGGAAGGAUCAUUA